CUCGCCCCCUUUCACCCUCAGAGCGCCCUACAUCAAGCCCUAACUCGUUUCUUGUGAGAUUGAAGUGUUUAGAGUGAUUUCUUGAAGAUUUUGGGAGAAGAAGUAGAGUGGAUCAAGAAGAGAAGAAGGAGACCAGAUAUCUUGGUGCUAUUUCAGAGUUCUCUGAGGUACCUCUUCGUCGAAGGGGAAGGAGCUGGCGCGGUAGCGAUACAUCACACACAUGCCUUGCUUUCCGCAUCACGAGAUCCUCCUGGGAAAUUGUACUCUGACACUUCAAUGUUUUAUAAAAAUGUUUUCUAGACAUGCAGUAUCUUUUGUAAAAUGAUAUUAUCGUUGAACGUUUUAUCCCUAAUGUUAUGCCAAAUGCAUGUUUUUAAAAAUGAAA